rnacentral:lncRNA from 1 species
UUUUUUUUUUUUUCCUUUUGAGACAGAGUCUCGCCGUGUCACCCAGGCUGGAGUGCAAUGGCGCUAUCUCGGCUCACUGCAGCCUCUAUCUCCCAGGCUCGAGCAAGCAAUUCUCAUGCCUCAGCCUCCCGAGUAGCUGGGACUACAGGUGCAUGCCACCACGCCUGGCUAAUUUUUGUAUUUUUAGUAGAGACGGGGGUUUCACCAUGUUGGCCAGGCUGGCCUCAAACUCCUGACCUCAGGUAACCUUCCCGCCUCGGCCUCCCAAAGUGCUGGGAUUAUAGGGGUGAGCCACCGCGCCCAGCCUGUGCUGUUAUUUUCACCACUUUACAGAUGAGGAAAAUAAGUCACUGAGAAAUUAAUUGGCUUGCAAAAAGUCGCACUUACUAUGUGCUCAGUACUGCUUGUGACAGGACACAGUGGGAGUUAAGAACACAGAUGACUCCAUCAGAGAGCCCAAGUUCAAACCCCAGUGCUGCCUCUUCAGCUGUUAUGACCUCGGACAAGUCAUCUAACCACUCUGAGCCUCAGUUUCUUUAUCUGUAAAAAGAAUAGCGACUGGGAUUCCUGUAGAGUGUAAAAAAAGUCAAUACAGGAGUCCAUGUGGAGAAAGAGUCCAGUUGUUCCUGUACUAGGUCAGGGCAGGGGCUUUUGUAUGGGUUCACAGCAGUCGUCUUGUGCAGGUCAGGUCAGUGGUUACUGUAUGAUGUGAGGCCAGGGGUUCCUGGACAGUGUGAAGACGGAUUUCUGUAUGGCAUGAAGGGUGGCUAUAACCUGACAUCCAUCUCAGAGUCCAUGGCUGCCUGCACUCGCUCCCUCCUUGGAGACCCACCACCCCUGCUGACCCUGCCACGGCCCCCACUAUCAGGGGCCCUGGCCUCAAUCACUGAGACCAUCCAAGUCCAUCGCAGAUACUGGCGCAGCUUACGGGUCAUGAAGGUAGAAGACAGAGAAGGACCCUCCAGUUCUAAGUUGGUCACCAAGAAGGCACCCCAACCAGCCAAACCUAGGUUAGCUGAGCGGAUGACCACACGAGAAAAGAAGGUUCUGGAAGCAGGCAUGGGGAAAGUCACCUCGGCAUCAUUUGGGGAAGAGUCCACUCCAGGCCAGACUAAGUCAGAGACAGCUGAAGAAAGAAAAGAUCUGAAGAAAGCUGACUCUAAAAGAGAGCCAUCAAAGUCAACAAACAGCAGAACUAGCACUCAAGCUAAGUUUAAAAAGAAAACAGAAGGGAAAUUCAAAAUAAGUUCAACCACCUUCAAGUUAAAUGGUGGAUUGAUAGCACAGGUUUACUUCCUCACCCUCCUACUACCCCAUUCAAAAUACAGUAAAGAAAUUGUAAACAAACAGCAACCCAGAAAGAGAGAGUGGAAGGAUGUCAGAGAAUAA